rnacentral:rRNA from 1 species
GUCUACGGCCAUACCACCCUGAACACGCCCGAUCUCGUCUAAUCUUGGAAGCUAAGCAGGGUCGGGCCUGGUUAGUACUUGGAAUGGAGAAAAGAUCACUAGAGGGGUGUUUUGGACU